GUAAACCUUAACAGAAACCGGGUCAGAGUCCACCAACCAAAAUAAUGAAAGAAGCCUCAAGCGCAAGCCUGAAGACAACACAAUCUCAUAUUCAUAGCAGAAGGACAUUACCGGCACGCAGCUUUAAUUCAAGACUAAGACGCUAAAUCCAUUUCAAAGCAUUGUUAUUUACACCAAAUCCAAAUCCAAAUCCAAUCCAUUUAAUCUAAGGGUAGGACUUUGAUAAUUUAUUUUGUCCAAAUUUUGCUUGAUUCUCUUCUUCCAACCAACAUUUCUCUUCAUUAAAUUCAGGACAGAGACUCCACAGCGGACGCUUUAGCUUAAGAGGGAGAAAACGGCAACAAAGAGAGAAGUUGAAGCUUCUCUUAACACUUAUAAUCGUUCCGAUCACCGACAAAGCCGUAAGAGAGGGAGACCAGAUCGGAAAAUAGUGACACGUUUGCUUGCCACUGGAUAAAGGCUUACCUCUCUAGCAACCUUCAGUGGCACCGACCGGUGGAAGUGGCGACAGCGGCGUUGCGGGAGCAGAUCAAGUGAAUUGCCACUAUGCAACGGAUUCCUGUGACAAUUGAGGAGCAGCUUAUUUUUAAAGCAAUAAAGGAGGAAUGUCCAUGGGAGAAUCUCCCCAAGAGGCUUCAAGCAACUCUCACUUCUAAAGAAGAAUGGCACAGAAGAAUAGUUGAACACUGCAUAAAGAAAAGACAACCAUGGAACACCUGUUUUGCUCGCAAAGUGUGCAAAGAAGGUGAAUAUUAUGAAGACAUGAUGCGUUACUUGCGAAAGAAUCUGGCGCUAUUCCCCUAUCACCUUGCAGAAUAUGUUUGCCGUGUGAUGAGGAUAUCAGCUUUUAGAUAUUACUGUGAUAUGAUAUUCGAGGUCAUGAAAAAUGAGCAACCAUACGACAGCAUCCCGAAUUUUAGCGCUGCAGAUGCCUUACGGCUUACUGGAAUUGGGAGAAAUGAAUUUAUUGAUAUCAUGAACAAGUGCAGAUCUAAGAAAAUUAUGUGGAAGCUGAACAAGUCCAUUGCAAAAGAACUUUUACCUACACAACCUGUGGACUUUGCAAUUGAACCGUGGUGGGGAGUCUGUCUUGUCAACUUUACCCUGGAAGAAUUUAAGAAACUCUCAGAAGAAGAGACGGCAACAAUAGAUAAAGUUUGUAAGGAGGAAGCUAAUGAAUAUAUCCUGUUUGAUCCUGACAUUGUAAAAGGUCUGUACCGACGAGGAUUAAUCUACUUUGACGUUCCUGUCUACCCUGAUGACCGUUUUAAAGUUUCCAGGCUUGAAGGGUUUGUUUCAAAUAGGGAUCAGUCUUAUGAGGAUCCUAUCGAGGAGUUGCUUUAUGCAGUUUUUGUUGUUUCAAGUGAGAAUGCUACUGUUGCUGAACUGGCAACAACUUUGCAGGCUGACCUUUCUCAGUUGCAGGCUGCUGCAUCCUUUGCUUGUCGACUGGGAUGGGCAGUGAAAUUGAUUGAUCCAGGAGCCAUUCUCCAAGAUACAAGUAUACCUGGCUCUCCUAAAAUUGCUCUCAGUGAUGAAGAAGAUGCUGCUUGUGCUAGCAUAAGUGCAGCAAAUGUGUUCGCUGACGGUGACGUUGCUCAGCAAGGAGAUAUUUCAGGAAUUGAAAUCCAUGGGCUGCUUUCCGGCCUUGCUCGUGUUGCUUUUAUUGUUGAUGCUAAUAUAACUUCCUAUCUAAUGAUGGGUUCUGUUUCACCAGGCUUGAAAUCUCAUGCUGUAACAUUAUACGAGGCAGGAAAGUUAGGUCAUGCUAGCAUUGCUGAUCUUUGCAAGGAUCUGAGUACAUUAGAGGGAGCAAAAUUUGAGGGAGAAUUGCAGGAAUUUGCAAAUCAUGCCUUUAGCCUUCGUUGUGUCUUGGAAUGUCUGCUAUCAGGUGGAAUUGCUUCUAAUGAAAAAGUGGAGGUAGUUUGCAAUAAGAUAGGCACAUUGGCUUCAAGCAAUGAUGAGCAUACUUCUUUGAUAGCUGAUGUCUCAUUGACUGACAAAUUAGGACACUCUGGUGCCAAUGAAACUGAUGCAGAGAUUGAUCAUUCUGUGAAUUCAGGGAUGCCUCAGGAUGAUUCUCAUAUGGCUGAAUAUGUUACCGGAAGCACUGCUGAUGAAACAUCUACUGUCUUAUCUGAAGACCAUAAUUCCAUAAGUGAGAUCUCUAAGUCAGACCUUAAUGUCCAGAAUGAUGUGAAAGUUGAAGAGUCUGUUGUUGGAAGAGGAACUUUAAGGAGGAAAAGGAAAUACCGAGUGGAUAUUCUCCGUUGUGAAAGCUUGGCUGCUCUAGCACCAGAAACUUUAGAUAGGCUAUUUCUUCGUGAUUAUGAUAUUGUUGUCUCUAUAAUUCCUCUUCCUCCUUCAUCAGUUCUUCCUGGACCAAAAGGUCCCAUUCAUUUUGGUCCUCCUUGUCAUUCAUCUUUGACACCAUGGAUGAAAUUGGUUCUUUAUUCAAGUGUGGGUAGUGGGCCUUUGUCUGUUGUUCUGAUGAAAGGACAAUGUUUACGUUUGCUUCCUGCACCGUUGGCUGGUUGUGAAAAAGCCCUUAUAUGGUCCUGGGAUGGUUCUAUGAUUGGGGGGUUGGGAGGCAAAUUUGAAGGGAAUUUAGUUAAGGGAGGUGUACUUUUACAUUGUUUAAAUUCACUUCUUAAAUACUCGGCUGUCCUAGUGCAGCCCCUCAGUAGGUAUGACCUUGAUGAAUCUGGAAGAGUCAUUACCAUGGACAUACCUUUGCCCCUCAACGACUCUGAUGGUUCAAUUGCUCACAUAGAGAAUGAAUUGGUUUUAUCUGAAGAUGAGAGAUUGAAAUUGAAUUCCCUGUUAACUCAUUUGACAAAUAAGAUGGGAUUGUCAACAAUUGGUUAUGUUCACAUGUUGAAGCUUUUUAAUGAAAGAGAGUCAGACCACUUUGCACCUGAUGAUCAGAAUUAUGAAUGGGUACCACUAAGUGUGGAAUUUGGGAUGCCCCUUUUUAGUCCAAAAUUAUGUAACAAUAUAUGUAAAAGGGUUGUAUCAUCUGAGUUGCUUCAAUCAGAUUCUUUUACUGGGCAUCAUGAUGCAAUGCAAGGCCUGCGGAAAAGGUUGCGUGAUGUCUGUGCAGAGUAUCAAGCAACAGGUCCUGCUGCCAAACUUCUUUACCAGAAAGAGCAGUCAAAGGACUCAUUUCGACAUCUUAUGAACUAUGCUAGUGGAAGAUGGAAUCCCCUUGUGGACCCUUCUUCUCCCAUUUCAGGAGCCAUGAGCGAGCAUCAGAGAUUAAAACUUGCUAAUCGGCAACGUUGUCGUACCGAAGUUUUGAGUUUUGAUGGUAGCAUUCUAAGGUCCUAUGCUCAAACUCCAGUUUAUGAGGCUGCCACAAGGCCUAUUGAAGAAACUCCACUGGUGAAUCCAAUAAAAGCUGAUCCUGAUGAAGCCGAUAGUAAGGAAGUGGUUCUUCCAGGUGUCAAUCUUAUUUUUGACGGUUCUGAACUUUAUCCCUUUGAUAUAGGCGCUUGCCUGCAGGCCCGGCAACCAAUUUCCUUGAUUUCAGAGGCUGCAGCUGCCUCAGCUUCUGCUGCAAUUAAAUAGAGCUCUUUCUGCAAUAAUCCUGCUUGGAUUGGAUAGAUAAAAGACUAUGUCUGCAUACAAAAAAUAGGAAGUUGUGAGACAUUGGGUUCCUCAUACCAGCUUUAUUGUAAUUGUUUGGUCCACCUGUUGCCUCGAGACUGCUUAUCGUGCACAGGCUCGGGCUUAUGUCUGAGGUAAAUGCCAAUAGGGUCUUUUUUUUUUUUCCUAGCAGAAGUAAUUUACAAUUACAUGAUAAUUCAUCAUUAAAUUCUUAGGAAGUGCCUUGCGCUGUUUUAUGGAAAAGGGUGUUUGUUAUAAGUAAGAAAGAGGGAGAUUGAAUUUUACUUGAUCUCUUUAUUACUCGUAGAAAUUACUGUUUGUAAUAUGUUUUCUCCUCCCCACUCUCCUUCAACGCAUUCAGACAGAUUAUUUUUUGUGUUUGAUUUCUGCAUUUGUUAUUUUUCUAGCUUUGCAGAACUUGAUAAAUAAAAUUGAGUCCUUACAACAUUUCCUGGUUCAAAUGUAGGUGGAAUUUUUGGCUGAAGCUCUAAUGAUAGUAUGCAAAACAGUAAAAGGAGAAGAAUGAUGGUUUUCGUGAAUGUAUGAAGCAUUCAAUGCUUGAAAGAUGGCAGGCCCUGACACUACUGCUAACCAACAAUAGGAAGAGUAAAACAUGUUCAAUUUCCCUGAAUGUCUAAUUAUGAAGUAAACCUGCACAUAAUUUUUUGGUUUGAUGAUUUCUAGUAGUACGCAUAAGAGGGGGGAAUUUUCAGCGUGAAGCAGUGAAAAAUUUUUACCUAUCACAUAAAAGAAUUGUUUCUGGUAAAGUGAAUAUGUAUUUCCCUUAUUGCAAUUUUGUUAGUGUAAUGAUUAGUCGAGCUUGUCUUUCCAUUUUGUUUGAGGAGCUGGUGAGAUAAAACAUGGCAAACUGGGAUGACUGAGUUUUUUCGUUUUUAAAUAAGCUUGUGGUUUGUGAGGAUUGUGAAGUGGUAAAAAUCGAUGAAUUUUUGUGAUCAGGAGGAUGCCAAUUGAACUUCUGCAUUAGUCUCGUUAUAUGACAAAAGAACUUGACUAUUUCAUUUUCUGGUUCCCAUGUGUCGGUGCAAUGCUACAUGUACAUGAGAUAGAUCCAUGAUUCCUCUUUUCAGUCGGUUUCCGUUUUUUAAGUUUUUGAAGAAUGCAAACGGCAAAUCAGAUUUGAGCUUCGCGUAAAGUUGAUGGCGUGGAAUCCGGUUUCUCAUUUCUCAAGUGGGUUUGUCUUGCAAAGAUUUAUAGCAGGAAUUCCUCAUCCAUUUCGAAUGCUGCUAGUUAUUUGCACGGUGUUAUAUAUUGUUUGGUAUACGUGUUGAGAUCGACCCAACUUAAUGUUGUUUUUUGUUUUUAAUCCAUUGCAUGAUCCACGGGAAGCAUCCAGCAUCCAGAUAACAAGGGCUCUGCUACUUACUAGUUCUGAUCAUGUAGCCUUCGAAAAGAGAUACAAGGCCCAUUCCCCGUGACUCUUAUUAGACUUCAUCUGUACUCCAGUUCAUGCAUUAGUCGUGAAAGUUGACACAUCUCCAGUCCACAUAUAUAAAUUUGUAGUGAUCCAAAAAAUAUACUAUUGUAUUGGAAACACUUUAUUUCUUAUUAAUAAAAUAGAUCGAAUUAAAUUUCAG
rnacentral:misc_RNA from 1 species